UUUAUUAUGUGAUCAAUAAACAAAAUCUUAACAAAGAACCUGGUGUGUUCCUUGACUGUGGGUAUUUGCAUCAGGGAAAACAACAACAGUUUUGGUGCAUUGGCCAGGAAUCACAAUAUUGCAGAAUCCUUUCAGGCAGACACCACUGGACCCUGUGUACACUCAACAAAGACCAAUCAAAACAGUGCCUUGUUUAAAGCUGUUGCUGAAGAAGCUGUGUGUCUCCACUACCCCCGACCAGGCAAAGCUCCUCCGAGAAGACACAGGCCCUCCAGACACCACCUACACCACACUGUAUAUUGCCUCUGAUGCACAUUCUACUAGCUUUGAGGAUAUGAGCUGUGAAAAUGCAGAGGAAAAGAUGGUGGAACUGUUAGAAUUUAUUCGCUUAAAGGACCAAUAAACUCAGUAGAUUUGCAUGAUAAACAACUGCAUGAUAACAAGACAAUGCAAUAACGCUUAGUCUGAACUUCAAAUGAGUAGUAGAUUUUUUUCUGACAAUUUAAAAAGUUAUGUCUAUUUCCACUCCCCCUCUACCAUGUGACAGCCAUCAGCCAAUCACAAAUGCAUAUAAGUACCAUGUGUCAGCCAUCAGCCAAUCACAAAUGCAUAUGCGUUUAUUUUGUGAAUUCUUGCACAUGGUCAGUAAGAGCUGGUGACUCAAAAAAGUUUAAAUAUAAAAAGGCUAAGCACAUUUUGUUAAUAGAAAUAAAUUGGAAAGUUGUUUAAACUUGCAUGCUCUAUCUGAAUAAUGAAAAUUUAAUUUUGACUUGAGUGUCCCUUUAAGUGCCAUACAAGUUACUAAUAUGUGAUACUUUUGUGUGCUCUCACAUAAGUAUCAGAUGAGGGACUGUAAAAUAUUGGAGGUAGCUGCCAUUAUUUUAAGGGGCUUUCAGUCAUAUAGGCCACAUUUGAUAUUUUUGCUUAUGCUUUAUAUGUGUCUAAUUGUCUUGUUUUCUGUCUUGCUUAAAAACUCCUGUCAUGUGAGUAUGUUACCUCUCUGCAUGUAACAUUGGGCCAGGCAACUAUCUGUAGCAUAGCAAACAGCUAAUUACUGUAUUUUUCUCCUUGUCCAAAAUUAGAGAAGUCACAUGAAUGGUUUCCUGUGUAUUAGGCCAGUGCACAGGAAACUAAGCCAGGUCCUUAUUAUAACCAAGGUAGAGUGUAUGCUAUUUCUCUAACAGGUUGCUCAAAUGGAAACUAACUCACUGAAGUGUUCCUCAUUCUCUUAAAAUGUAACAAGUAUAGGAAAACAGAUGUAUAAGAAUAGGAAUUUUGCCCAGCAACCAGAAGUAGGGAUCGUUAAGUCAAAUAUUACUGGUGGGCACACUUUGAUUACAUAACCUAUGUACUCUGUAAGAACUGAAUGCUGACUGCCCAGCUUCAGAAAUUGCUGUCUGCAUAAUUCUCCCAUAUUGAUCAAUUUGGUAUGGGAUCAAUAAACAAAAUCUCAUCAAAGAA